rnacentral:rRNA from 1 species
AGCUCCAAUAGGGUAUAUUAAAGUUGUUGUAGUUAAAAAGCUCGUAGUUGGAUUUCUGGCAGUAGCGACCGGUCACACACUCUGUGUGGGAACUUGUGUUGUCUCUGGCCAUCCUUGGGAAAAUCCUUUUUGGCACUAAGCUCUCGGGCAGAGGAUACCCAUUGUUUACUUUAAACAAAUAGAGUGUUUAAAGCAGGCGUAUGCCGUUGAAUAUAUUAGCAUGGAAUACUAAGAUAUGACUUUUGAACUAUUUUGUUGGUUUGCGUUACGAAGUAAUGAUUAAUAGGGACAGUUGGGGGUAUUCAUAUUUUGUUGUCAGAAGUAAAAAUCUUGAAUUUCCGAAAGACGAACUACUGCGAAAGCAUUUACCAAUGAUGUCUACA